ACUCAUAACCUUCUUGGCAUUUGAUUUGAAAUCAGAUUGUUUGUUUUUAUUAACAAUAUGGGUU
rnacentral:tRNA from 1 species